rnacentral:rRNA from 1 species
UACAGGGGGGGCAAGCGUUGUUCGGAAUUACUGGGCGUAAAGGGCUCGUAGGCGGCCAACUAAGUCACACGUGAAAUCCCCAGGCUCAACCUGGGAACUGCGUGUGAUACUGGAUGGCUUGAAUUCGGGAGAGGGAUGCAGAAUUCCAGGUGUAGCGGUGAAAUGCGUAGAUAUCUGGAGGAAUACCGGUGGCGAAGGCGGCAUCCUGGACCGGCAUUGACGCUGAGGAGCGAAAGCCAGGGGAGCAAACGGG